CUCCUGACUUCUUCACCCAGAAGUCUCCAGAAUAAACUGAGAUUGGACAGUUUGAACAGAGCCAUUAAACCUGAAACAAGUACAAGUCAAUGUGUUCGUCUGUCGCUCAGUAGUUUCCGGUUCCUACAGCAGAGAUAGCAACAACCUUUACAGCAGCAGUCGGUGUCUGUGGACUUUCUCAGCCCUGGGUUUUACCUCUCAGGCUGCACUCAACCUCUGAUUGGUGGAGGUUGUUCUGGCUCCAUCCAACCACAAAGGAAGACCUGAGACUCUACUGCCUCCUUCACUGUGUUUUCAUUGUGAUAAAAUAAAGUUACAUUUGAAUUUA